rnacentral:lncRNA from 1 species
AAUGACAACAGCACAAGUUCUAGGAAGAGUGAGCAUGGGUAUGAUUCAGAAGAUGAUUCUGAGACUGGCCAUGAUGAUGAGAAAAGGGGGAAAGAAACACAUGAAGAAAUCCUUCUUAGAUGGAGAUGUUGAUCCUGUGAUUGUUCAUAAGAAGGCAACUAUGUAAGCUAUGUAUAUCUAACCAGUGCUUUUAAUUGUUGGAGAUGAACCUUGCUAAAACUUGGCUUGAUGCUCAUUUCAGAAGGGUGUGUUUUGCCUUUUGCUGUCGGGAAAUUUGAUCAUUUGCCAGGGACUUAUCAUUUGCAACCCUUUACUUGGGAUUACUUGAUUAGCCCCCAUUUUACCUGGAAUUGUUGAUCAUUUGCCCUAUUCAUCAAUUUACUGAUUACUUAAUUUUUUAAUCCACAUAGUACAUUUGGCACCUUUUGCAAUUCCUCCCCGCUCGUAUCUAUUUGCUGCAGAUGAUGCACAGAUAUCAUGAUAUGAUUGACAGAGACCAAGAGGACGGUGCGGAUUGAUGUUAUCUUCAUUUAUAUUUGUGACAGUGCCUCCUUGCAACCAGCACGUUUAUGCAAGCUAUCAGCGUGUUGCUCUGAAAGCCUGAAACUUCGGCGUCACCAUAAUUACUGCUCUAAUAAUGCUUGGUUGCCGUCAGCGUAGUCUAGGGACCAAUCAGUGUAUCCCAAUUAUCAGCUACCAAAAUGAUAUACAUCAUGUAUAUAUCUAGUUUCAGGUAACAAGCAUAGAUGAAUUACUGUGUGAUUGGAAUUCUGUACUCAGUAUUUGACAUGCCAAUAACAAAGAGGUUUACAGAUAUCGCACCUGUUUCUGUUCUCUCUUCCAACUAGCAGUACUAAACUAUUAAAUCUGCUUAAGUGCAUGAUUCUUCUCAGUUAUUUUGCCCAAGCUCGCAGACUGAAUACUCCAUUUCCAAGUGUUGGUUUACAAGGUUGCAUGGGCAGAAGCCAAAGUGCAGAAAUAGACAGAAAAUGAAUCUUCCAUUUGCAACGCUGAUUCAAUGUUGAUACAAAGAUCAGAUAACAUUAAAGAGGGGCCAUGUCUGCAGAGCGACUCCAAUGACUACAGAAAGGAUUGUUCAAACAGACGGGAAAAAAGAGAGAAUAUUACAUGCGACCCUGGAAAUAUCAACAGGAAAAUUCAG